CUGCCCUCGGGCUGCUGGCUCCGGCCGGCGAGCGUCUGCCAGAGGACCUAAACUCUGUUUGUCUAUAAUGUCUGAGUACUAUAUAAUAGUUAAAACUUUCAACAACGGAUCUCUUGGUUCUGGCAUCGAUGAAGAACGCAGCGAAAUGCGAUAAGUAAUGUGAAUUGCAGAAUUCAGUGAAUCAUCGAAUCUUUGAACGCACAUUGCGCCCCCUGGUAUUCCGGGGGGCAUGCCUGUCCGAGCGUCAUUACAACCCUCAAGCUCAGCUUGGUGUUGGGCCCCGCCGCCCCGGCGGGCCCUAAAGUCAGUGGCGGUGCCGUCCGGCUCCGAGCGUAGUAAUUCUUCUCGCUCUGGAGGUCCGGUCGUGUGCUUGCCAGCAACCCCCAAUUUUUUUCAGGUUGACCUCGGAUCAGGUAGGGAUACCCGCUGAACUUAAGCAUAU
rnacentral:rRNA from 1 species